AUUGAACGCUGGCGGCAGGCCUAACACAUGCAAGUCGAACGAGUGGCGGACGGGUGAGUAAUGUGUGGGAAACUGCCCGAUGGUGGGGGAUAACCACGGGAAAGGGUAGAAAAUACCGCAUACCCGCGGAUGUGCCCAGACGGGAUUCGCGAGUAGGUGGGGUAACGGCUCACCUAGGCGAAGAUCACUAGCUGGUCUGAGAGGAUGACCAGCCACACUGGAACUGAGACACGGGCCAGACUCCGACGGUAGGCAGCAGUGGGGAAUAUUGCACAAUGGGCGCAAGCCUGAUGCAGCCAUGCCGCGUGUAUGAAGAAGGCCUUCGGGUUGUAAAGUACUUUCAGCGAGGAGGCGUUACUCGCAGAAGAAGCACCGGCUAACUCCGUGCCAGCAGCCGCGGUAAUUC
rnacentral:rRNA from 1 species